CAUGGUUACCAAUGGCUUUUAGGGCGAGAUCAGAAAUUAUGCGAGAAAUGAUGAACUCGUGCAUAGGUUCAUUGAGCUCAGAUGUCAAAAUGGUGGCCAAUAUUUUUUCAGGAAGCUGCUGCUGCUAGACUUCAACAUAAUUUUAGGAACAAUUUCAAGGUCGCCACGCUGAGCUGGAGAUAUCACGAAAUUCCCUGCAUCGUAUUCCACUUGGUCAAUUUGCUAUCUUGAAGGCAGUUUCACGGAACUGAGCAUCGACGGAGACUUUAUACGAAACGUAGUUAAGGUCGGAAACGUUGAUCGUUUUGAACUGAACUGGCACUGGACAAAUUUGCGAGGAACAUGCGUUUCAUGGACCGUUCGGACCAAAGAUACCACGAUAGUGGCCAUUCAGUGCUUUGGCAGCUUUGAUGGAGUAUAAAGUACAAUACUUUAGUUUUUGGUCCUUCUUUCAA